GACAACAUUUUCUCAACCAAAUGCAACUUAAAAUUUUCAUAAUAAUUCUAUAAAGGAAGUAGUUUUUUCAUAGUUUAAGUUACUCCGGGUAAAAUAAUUUUGAAAAUAAGCAUGUAUGUGACUAAUAGUUUUGAUUAGGUAAGCAUGCAUGGAACAAAUAGUUUUGAUUAGGUUUCAUUGAAAGAAGACUUUGAUUAUGGGAACAAAUAGAAAAAUUAGUAAAUGGAAAAAGAUUGAGCUAAUACUAAUGAUGCAUCAAGUACCUCGUUGGACCAAACGUUCUUCCUUAACCGACUUUACAAACAUGAAUUUUAGGAUAUGAGAAUACAAAAUACGAUGACCACCAGAAAAAAGUAGGUUAUUUUGUUUUCUGUAAAAAAAGGAAAAUAUAAUGUUUUAUAAAUACUUUCUUUUUAACCUAUAAGUCUAUAACUAAAUUUAUUAAGAUGAGUAACAUUUGAGGAAGGAAAAAAAAUAAAACCAAAGGAAAGAAAAGAAAAGAAAAUAUACCUUACCAAUUCCAAUAUAAAACAAAUUCUUAGCAGAAAAAAAAAAUAAUAAACAAUGAAAACAUGCUAGACAUUUGAAAAUUUGUCCACAGUACCUGAGAGAGCGUACAUGGGAGAAGCAGGUAAAAGGGUGGGAAAGGGAAGGAGUGCAGCUUCUCUCCACCAUUCUGUCAUUUCUUCACAGACAGACUCUAUUUGUUGAAGUAGGGAGUGAAAGUGAGCUGAAUGGUUUCAUCCUCCCACUGCAACCCUCGGCACCACUCUGAUGUCCCGUCAAUUGUCUUUAAACUGUUUCUUGCACUGUUUGAAUCCAAUGGCAGCUUCCUUAGGUUUGGGCAUUCCCUCACCAUGAGGGUUUCCAAGGAAGGAAAUGGCAAAGCUCGUCUGCUGAUGCUCCUUAGAUUUGGUACAAAAAACAAGUACAAACCUUUGAGUCUUGAGAAUAUGCUAAGAUUUUCAGGGACCCCACUCGCAUCACCUAUCACUUCUUCCAUGGAUUCACAGUGAUAUACACCAAGAUGUUUAAGACUUGGGAUGUAAAUAAGCCAUGUCAAGUCCAACAACUUUGGAAGUAGAUGAACCUGUACUGAGAGGAGGUUGUAGAAAAUUGAGUUAGGGAUAUAAUCUGCUACAAAUCCCCGUCUACCCCUCUCAUUUUCUAGAUUGACUUUUAUGUCUUGUAGCUCCCCACAUCUAUAUAUUGUAAGGCUACGUAGAUGUUUGAUUCUUGGCAAUUGGAGUAUGCUCAUACCUUCCAAGUUCCAAAGGUCUAAAUCUCUCAUAGCAUUCAGUAGUUUUUGGGAGUUCAAUAACUUUUGGAAAGACAGAGUACCUACAAUGGGCAAAGAGACCCAAUUUAUGUGCUCCAACCCUUCUAACUCCUCUAAUAAUGCUUUAUUAUCCUCAUGUAAAUAAAUAGCCUUAUCAUCCUUCCUUGAAUAAUUGGCUUCCUCCUCCUCCUCCUCCUCUGUGGAUGACGAAAUAUCAUUUCUUUCUGACAAGUGAUAUGUAGAUCUUAUACUAAAAACUCUCAACAUUGAGAGAUGUGAUAUUACUUCCUUAAAAAUUAUUUCAAGACUACCAUUUAAUAUCAGAUAUCUUAGUCUUUUCAAAGUCGCAAACUCCGCGGACAAUUCUCUUAGAGUUGUAUUUGACAAAUUGAGAUAUUGCAGUGUAAUUAAUUUUUCGAUUCCAGUAGGUAAUUUAGUUAUUCCAGAAUUUGACAAAUCCAGAACUUUUAUAACUGGCAUGAAAUGGAAGAAUCCACUCGGAAAUGUUUCCAGGCCUCUACUCCUAACAAUUAAAGUUAAGAGAUUGGGAAAAGAUGGUGGUAUAGUGAGUUCUUCCAAACUACUUGUCGCCAGGUGUAGCCGAUGUGCCUCUUUCCACUUUGAAACUUGGUAAACUUCCACAGUAUCAACUUCUUCUACCAAGAUUAUGUUCUUAUUGCCCCUAUAUUCUGAAGCUAACCAUAAAGCCAUAUCACGAAUGACAUCAUGCAUUUUAACCCUAUCAAAUAGACCAUUCUCGAAUAGACAUACUGUCUUUAGAUGCUCAAUGAUGUGGUGCCCUUGGUUUAAUGCUUCAUCUAUGCUAGCAAAUCCAUCCAAAAACCCUUCUCCAAUCCAAAGGAAUAUAAGAUCCUCAUCCCAAAUUUCAUGGUCCUCUGGGAAUAUAGCAAGAUAUAAAAAACAAGUCCUGAUGGUGUCGUUUGGCAAGUUAUCGUAACUGAAUUUGAGGACCGGAAAUACAUGAUCUCCCAUACCUGAAAACUUUGAUGGAUAAGUCUUCAACAUUUGGAUUGCUCGCUCCCAUUCUUGUGGAGUCUUCUUGUCAGCCAUAGCUCGCCCAAUAGUGACGAUUGCAAGUGGUAAGCCUUGGCAUUCUUUAGCAGCAAUUUCAGCAAGUUGGGGUAUAUCCGAAUGUGAAUUUAGAGUAGUCUCUCCAACCUUCUUCUUGAACAAAUUAAUAGCCUCAUCUUCUGUCAAACACUCCACCUUAAGGCUUUUUUGAGCUUCCAUAUCCCGACAAACAUCCAGAGAACGGGUUGUUAAUAUUACUUUGGACUUGUUUUGGGAAUUAGGAGAAGGAACCCCCACUUUUUGGAGAUCAAGCCGCUCCCAUACAUCAUCUAGCAGCAUCACAAACCUUUUUGCCUUCAAGACAUUGAAAAUUGCUACUGCUUUUUCAUCCUCAGUUCUGUUUCUCCAUCUAUCAUCCGGGAUGUCUAACUUGUUCCGAAUGACGUCUUGUACUUUUUCCACACUUGCUGGCCUGGAUACUACAACCCAAAUGGCGAUUUCAAAGCUCUUGCUCGAUCUAAUGAACUCAUUAUUCACUUUGGUCAUGAGGGUAGUUUUCCCGGCACCCCCCAUACCGUACAACCCAAUAAUUCCGAGUUCCUCAUCUUGGAUGUAUCUGCAAACCCCUGUAAACAUCAGAUCUAAGCCCACAGUCUUCUCCAUCGGCCUCUCAUCCACCGGAGCUUGAGGUAACCUAUCAGCCACAACAUCAAAGCGUCCCUUGUUCCUUAAUUCAAUCACAGCACCCAGCUUUUUAGUCGCUUUCUUCCCGAGCUUGUAGCUGGACCGGCAGUUUCUGGGGCAACAAGUUCCAGGGCAUUUCUUCUGGAUUUCCUGAUCGCCUUUCUCCAGGAUCUCGUUGACUUGUAUUUCCAUGGCUAGUACACCAUGGAGCCAGCCGUCCACUUCAUUCGUGCGCCUCAUUUGCCGUUGCUCUUCAAGUUCAACUCUUCCCUUCACAUCUUCAUGUACAUUCUUCAGCUCCUGCAUUGCGUUUCUUAAAGAGUCCAUAUUUUCCUGUAGAUCCCUGAUGUAGACUGCAUGCUUGGCUGUGCAGUCCCACACGCGAGUUACAACAUCCAAGAUUGGGCUCACACAAUCCAUUCCUUCCCUUGAGAGAUGAAAGAAACAAGAGGUAAGAUUCAAGAAAAGAAGAGAAAGUGGGAGAGCAGAGAAGCCUUGUGGUUGUCGAAAGCAGAUCAAUCUCUCUGAUUAAGGAAUUCCAAUAUGGAAGACACCCCAUCAAAGGCUGUUAUCACCUUUUUCUUUUUCUCUUUACCACGCAUUACUUUAUUAUAUAAUUUGUUUGCACACAUCCCUUUCUUCUCGGCGUGUGGACUUUACUUUCUAAAAAGAAAAGAAAGUUUCUUGUCAAGAUUCCAGAGUGUUUCUCAUUUUGAGUCCCUGAUCACAUUAUGGAUCUGAUUAGUCUGGGCUUUAGCAUUUCAAUAUAUCAGACUGCUCCUCAUCCCUUUGAAGUGAUUGAUCAAGGGAGGCUAUUGGUUAUUAAUGGAGCUGAAUAUGCAAUCCUUUGGAAGGCGUUGUGCUGUGCAAUGACAUCUGAUAAUGGUGAUUAGUGGCCCACAAUCUUGAUUAAUGGUGGCGAAAGAGAUAAGGCCACUACCAUUCUCCUGUCCCACAUUACUUCAAUAAUGCAAAGUAACGAGUACUCCACUACUCACCAGUUUCAUUAAGCUUCUAUUCCAAAUCUAUUAUUUCCCCUUACCUACUCUGCUUCAACUAUCAUAUUUAAUCAAAUAUUUAAUAAUUUAAAAUCAAAUUAUUAAUUAUUUGUUUCAUUUAUGGUCUCAAUAUCAUAUUAUGAUGGAUCAGAUUACCCAAAAAAAGAAAGUAAUAUGAUAGAAAACUGAAAUUACUAAGAGAUUUCUACAAUAAAAUGUGAACAAAUUAAGUGAAAUUUGAAUUGAUCUUCAAAAAUAGGUACCCAUGAACAAAAACUAAUCCAAAUUUAUUGGAGCAAAUGUCCGAGCUAAAAGAAUGUAAACAAAGUUGAAAAUGGAUUCACCAUUAACAUCUUCAAGGCUUCAAGAAUAAAAAUUAAAAUUUUCAUAAUGAUGCUUUAAAGCUAGCAAUUUUUCAUAGUUAUAUGAAAUAAUUUUGAAAAUAAGCAUGCAUGGGACCAUAUAGUUGUAAUUCAGUUUCAUUGGAAAAAAAAAAUCAGGAGACAUAAAUAUCAAGUCUUUUUGUUUAAGAUGUUUUCUAUUUUUAUUUUCAAAGAAAAUAAAAAAAAAGUUGGAGAAUAUUUUUAGGGAUCCAUCUACACUAUUAAAGUGUAUUUUUUUUUUCUAUAGGUAUGGAAAGACAUCAUCAACUAGGUGGUAACACAUAUACAUCUUCAAAUUGGUUUUUUUUUUUCUUUUUUAUUUUAAUCACAUUUAUUUGUAUCUUUGUACCCGAUCUCAUUUGUUUGUACUCUUAUUUGAUGACCUUGAUUUUACCAUACACAUUUAAUAGUCUAGAUCAAGGAUGAAAAUUUUUGUUUUUUUGGCCAAAAUUUAGGCGAAAUUUCGUGUUUCGGGUGGUGACGAAACGAAAGAGGAGGGCGAAAUGUCAACGGCAGAAAUAUACAUAAAAAAAUCGCCUCCAGUUGGAAAAUUUCGAAGAAAAAUCGUUUUGUUUCGUUUUAUUUUGGCGAUUUUUCGCCGAUUUUGUGAAAAAAGAUUUGUACCUCUAACACCAAAAUCUGAACGGACGCGUUAAUGGCGGGACCAUCGACGGUGUGGUCAAGUUACACAGCCACGACUCGGACGGUGGUGUUAAGGCUUGGAGGAGAGUUAGGGCAGGUGAAGAGUGGUUGAUUUUGUGGCAGAGAGAGAGUUGAGGCGAUGAGUCUGACGAGCAGCGACAGAGUUGAGGCGAUGAGUCUGACGAGCAGCGACGAUGAUGUUGGAGCCGACUUUGGCGAGGUCGAGACAGAAGUCGCGGCCGAGGGCAGAGGAAGCACGGGUGACCAUGACCACCUUGCCUUCUAGGUGGUGCCAUGGCUGGAGGUGGUUGGAGACUUUGUUCACCAUUGGGUCUUGGCAUCCAUUAAAAGAAAUAAACCUUUUGAUUAUGAUAUUUUUUUCUAUUACCUAUUUUUAGAAUUUUGUCUUUUUUUAAUAUGCCUGAAUAAAGGAAUAAAUAUUUUUUUUAUUGGAUCUUCUUAUAAUUUAUUAAAAAAAAUUACUCUUCUAAUAUUUCUUAAUUUUUGAUAUUAGAAGAGCAAUUAUUUCUAAAUGUAAUAUAUUUAGAUAAAAGAAAAAAUUACAUUUUUCUUGAAGAAUUUUUUUUUAAUAUAUUCCUAAAUUAUUAAAAGAUUGUUAUUUUUUAUUUUUUAUUUUAUACGUUAAUAACUUAUUAGGAAGAUUGUUAUUAUUUUCUAUUAGAGUCUAGAAUGAAGGGAUUUAAAUGAAAAAGGAAAUAAUGGAUUUGGAAUAGAGGGAAUUUUUAGGAGGAAAGAAUUUUAAAGGAUUUGAUUGGAUACUUUUGAAGUUUUUAAUUUAUGAGAUUUUAAUUUUAUUAAAGUAAACUUUCUUUUUUUCAAUAUUGACUUAUUACUCUUACCUUUUCUCUUUAAAUUAAAAUUAAUAUAUAUAUAUAUAUAUAUAUAUUUUGUCUUUUGCACUUACAUACUAUUUCUGGCAUUUUUUUGUUGGAACUUUUGUGGAAUUUUUAAUUAUAGAAUCUUCUCGAAUAAAUUAUUUUAAAUAUGUAUGAGGUUUCUUUUCUUUCCUUUUUUCAAUAUAAUAGAUGCCCAAAUAGAGUGGAAGAAAAAAAGAAUUUGCUACAAUAAUUAAUGUAUUUUUUUAGUAUUUUUAUUAGAAUAAAUAAUUCUCCAACUUGAGUGAAUUCUCAAUUUUAAUCUCACUUAUAUCAUUGUAGUUGUUAUUUAUUUUUAUAUCAAGUUUUUCAUAAAGCUUCAUAAUGAGUGUAUAAUUACAAAAUUCACAUUUCUUAUCGAUCGACAUGAUAUAAUUACAUUUAAUAUUGUAAAUUAUAUCAUACAUGUAUCAAAUUCUUCAACAAAACAAUUUUAAAUUGUCUAUUAUAUUUCUAAUUACAUUGUUACGAGGUUUUUCUUACAUUUUCAUGAAUUUUGAUCAAAUUUUGGCAUAUCGAAAUUUUUUUUCAAAAUAUCCGCCGAUAUUUCUCCGAUAUAUCCAAUAUAUCCAUAAAAUCAAGUUAUUGAUAUAUUCAUGAUUACCGAUAUUUUCAUCCUUAGUCUAGAUUUAGAGUUCAGUAGGUAUAUAUAUAUUAUAUGUUUGGAUACUUAUUUUUUGUUUCUAUUUUUUAGGAAAUUGAGUAUAAUGUGAAAAUAAUAUUUUGAUGUUUUCGAAAUUUUUUAAAUAAAAUGAAAACAGUCAUCUCAUAAGUAAAAGGAUAAAAAUGAAUAAAAUAAUUUAAAAUUUGAGAUACUUCAUUGUUGGGAAGUGCUUCAAGUUCCUUUUGCGUUUGAAUUGCUUUAUUUUAUGUUUUUUUUUCAUUAAUAUGUUUACUUUGAUACUUUGUUGACACAACAAUUGGUCCCUAAGCCCAGAUUAAAAUUUGUGAAAAGCUCAAAAGGAACACAAAAACACAAAACGAUAAUAGAAGAAAUUUUAGUUAAAUGUGUAGUCAAUUGUCCUCUUGUAAAGAAGUGAUAGAAAGAUUCAAUUAUGUUUUUCAUCUUCUCCAUGGCAUUUCUGAAAGAUUCGAGGAUGUUUUAUAUAUUAAAGAUAUAAACUGCUUGUUUGCAUUUUAUUCUAAUUCACCUAUGUUUAUUAAAUAAAAUUAAAGAGUAAAUAAAAUUUCUAUGGUCUAUGUAUGAAGUCAAUUUUUUUUUUUUAAAAAAAAAAUAAUCAUAUCAUGAUUGGUAUUAACAAAAUGAAUAAUCUAUACCUAAAAUCAUCAAAUUUUCUAAAUUAUAUAUCAUCAUAUAACCUUAAUUUCUCUUAAAAGGAUAAUAAAUUAGUACGAGUGAAAUAAAAUUCUGACAUUCCAUCAUCAAUAAAUACAACUAAAAAUAGUUAAAAGAAGUAAAAAAUUAUAUAUAAAUAAUUAAAAAAAGUAAAAUGUUUCGUCGUUUUAUCUUUAAUAACAUCAUAGUGAACAAAUGAUAAAAUACAAAUGUAUCAAUAUUUUGUAUUUUAUGAAGUAAAAAGUUAUUAAUAUGUUAUUAUUAAAAAAGAUCAAUUAUAUAUUAAAGAGUGAAAUAUAAUUUUUUUUAUUUUUUUUUAUUUUUUCUUUAUUAACUUUAUAUUUUACAAUUUUUAUUCACAUUUUAUUAAAUUUAUAGCUUUAUGAUUUUGUUGUUUGGUGAUGACAUAAAUAUGUGUAUAUAUAAGCAUAAUCAAAGUCAACAUGGCAUAAAUGGUUAUGGUCUUCAUCCUCUGCUUGUUUGAAUUUUAUUAAAAAAAAAAAAAGGAAAAAAGAAAAAAUCAAAUCAACCCGUGGGCCCAUGCAUUUUAAAUGAUAAUUGAAAAUGUUGACAACGCUUUGUUUAAGGGCAAGAGUACUGAGGCGUGCUCAUUUCUUAAGGUGUUAUAAUAUAAACUAGAAAUUCUCUAAAUAUAUCGUGAGAUGGCAGGACAUAAGCUCGAACCUCUUUAAUGUAUGUGCUUUUAAAAACUCGAUUGGUGAAGUAUUACCUAAAAUUUAUUUCAAAUCUCAAGUUGAGAAAUUGUCAUUCUUAAUACAAGCACUCCAAUCAAUUAAAGCCAAUAAAAAUUACAGUAGCUUCAUGGUAUGGCACCUUACACACAAUCCAAAUAUACUCAUCUUUACACACAAUAUAAGCACAAAGGAUUAUUUAUUUAUUUAUUUUUUUGUCUCUUUAAUUUGGAUGUUUAUUUCUGCAAUCCACCCUGUGCACACUUAGCAUCCAGAAAUUCAAACAUUUGCAAGAAGUUUCAGUUGAGUCCGACCAUUCUUCAAAAUCUUAUCCUACAAAAACAAAAACAAAAAAAAAAUAAAAAAUAAGUGAAUCUAAAUAUUUAACUUAUAUGCGAACAACAAUUCAUGAACGUUAUCAAUCAUAACAGAUUCUAAUAAGUAGCUGCAAAGGAUACAUGUAAACUAGAGUUAUUUACAAUUUAUAUAAUGAAAAUGUAAACAAAUUAAUUCCAAUUUGAAGUAAUAUUUAGAAAUGUGUACCCAUAAACAAACAACUAAUCCAAAUUCUUUAGAGUUGUAUGCCCAAGUUAAGAUAAUGUAGACAAAGUGUAAAAUAAGUUCAUUUUUAGCAUUUUCAUAAUAAUUCUCCAAAGUAGGUAUUUUCAUGUUCUAAAUUUCUCAAGAGUAAAAUAAUUUUGAAAAUAAACAUGCAUGUAAGAGAUGGUUUUAAUUAAGUUUCAUUGUAAAAAUAAAAAAUCAAGAGACAGAAAUAUUAGGUCCUUAUCUCUAGAACAAAUAAUAAAUAAAAAGAUUGAGAUAAUAGUAGUGAUGCAUCAAGUAUGUUAUUGGAUCCAAAAGUUAUGCCUUAAUCUGUUUUACAAACAUGUAUUUUAGGAUAUGGAAAGAGAAAAUAGGAUCAACAUUAAGAAAAGUUAUUUUAUUUGGAGUUUUAUUAAUAGUUUCUUUUUAAACUAUAACUAAAUUCAUUGGGGUGAGUAAUGCGUGAGGUAACGAAAAAAAUAAAACAAAAGUGGAAAUAAAAAUAAAUUUUAUCCACUUAUAACAAAAAAAACGUGAACAUGAAAACACAUGAGACAUUUGAAACUUUGUCCCAAAAAAGAAGGCAGUACCUGAGAAAGCAUCGGAGAAGAAGGUCAUCUUCUCAUUUUUUCCCAACCACGAGGUCUCUUUGAAGUAGGGAGUGAAAGUGAGUUGAAUGCUUUCAUCCUCCCACUGCAAACAUUGCCACCACUCCAGUGUCCCUUCAAUUGUCUUCAAACUGUUUCUUGCACUGUUUGAAUCUAAUGGCAGCUUCCUUAAGUUUGGGCAUUUUGUCACGUAGAGGGUUUUCAAGGAAGGGAAUGACAAAGCUCGUCUGCUGAUGCUCCUUAGAUUUGGUACAAGAUACAAGUACAAACCUUUGAGUCUUGAGAAUAUGCCAAGAUUUUUAGGGACCCCACUCGCAUCACCUAUCACUUCUUUCAUGGAUUCACAUUCAUGUACAGAAAGAUGUUCAAGACUUGGGAUGUAAAUAAUCCAUGUCAAGUCCAACAACUUUGGAAGUUUAUCAACACAUACAAUUUGGAGGUUGUAGAAAAUUGAGUUUGGGAUAUAAUCUGCUACAAAUCCUCGUCUACCCCUCUCAUUUUCUAGAUUGACUUUUAUGUCUUGUAGCUCCCCACAUCUAUAUAUUGUAAGGCUACGUAGAUGUUUGAUUCUUGGCAAUUGAAGUAUGCUCAUACCUUCCAAGUUCCAAAGGUGUAAACACCUCAUAACAUUUUGUAAUUUUUGAGAGUUCAAUAACUUUUGGAAAGACAGAGCACCUACAAUGGGCAAAGAGACCCAAUUUAUGUUGUCCAACCCUUCUAACUCCUCUAAUAAUGCUUUAUUAUCCUCAUGUAAAUAAAUAGCCUUAUCAUCCUUCCUUGAAUAUUUGGCUUCCUCCUUGUCUAUGGGUGACGAAAUAUCAUUUCUUUUUGACAAGAUAUAUUCAAAUCUUAUGCUAAAAACUCUCAACAUUAAGAGAUGUGAUAUUACUUCCUUAAAAAUUAUUUCAAGACAACUAUGUAAUAUAAGAUAUCUUAGGCUUUUCAAAGUCACAAGCUCCGCAGACAAUUCUCUUAGAUCUGUAUUUGACAAAUUGAGAUAUUGCAAUGAAACUAAUUUACCAAUUCCAGUAGGUAAUUUAGUUAUUCUAGCAUUUGACAAAUCCAGAACUUUUAUAACCGGCAUGAAAUGGAAGAAUCCACUCGGAAAUGUUUCCAGGCCUCCAUUCCUAACAAUUAAAGUCAAGAGAUUGGGAAAAGAUGGUGGUAUAGUGAGUUCUUCCAAACUACUUGUCGACAGGUAUAGCCGAUGUGCCUCUUUCCACUUUGAAACUUGGUAAACUUCCAUAGUAUCAACUUCUUCUACCAAGAUUAUGUUCUUAUUGCCCCUAUAUUCUGAAGCUAACCAUAAAGCCAUAUCACGAAUGACAUCAUGCAUUUUAACACUAUCAAAUUCACCAUUCUCGAAUAGACAUACUGUCUUUAGAUGCUCAAUGAUGUGGUGCCCUUGGUUUAAUGCUUCAUCUAUGCUAACAUAUUCAUCCAGAAACCCUUCUCCAAUCCAAAGGAAUAUAAGAUCCUGAUAAAAAAAUACAUGGUCCUCCGGGAAUAUAGCAAGAUAUAAAAAACAAGUCUUGAUGGUGUCAUUUGGCAAGUUAUCGUAACUGAAUUUGAGGACCGGAAAUACAUGAUCUCCCAUACCUGAAAACUUUGAUGGAUAAGUCUGCAACAUUAGUAUGGCUCGCUCCCAUUCUUGUGGUGUGCUCUUGCCGACCAUAGCUCUCCCAAUAGUGAUGAGUGCAAGUGGUAAACCUUCGCACUCUUUAGCAGCAGUUUCAGCCAGCUGGGGUAUAUCUGGAUGUGAAUUUAGAGUGGUCUCUCCAACCUUCUCCUUGAACAAAUUGAUGGCCUCCUCUUCUAUCAAACACUCAACCUUAAUGCUUUUUUGAGCUUCCAUAUCGCGACAAACAUCCAGAGAACGGGUUGUUAAUAUUACUUUGGACUUGUUUUGGGAAUUAGGAGAAGGAACCCCCACUUUUUGGAGAUGAAGCCGCUCCCAUACAUCAUCUAGCAGCAUCACAAACCUUUUUGCCUUCAAGACAUUGAAAAUUUCUGCUGCUUUUUCAUCCUCAGUUCUGUUUCUCCAUCUCUUAUCCGGGAUGUCUAACUUGUUGCGAAUGACUUCUUGUACUUUUUCCACACUUGCUGGCCUGGAUACUACAACCCAAAUGGCCACUUCAAAGUCAUUGCAUGUUUUGAAGUACUCAUUAUUGACUUUGGUCACGAGGGUAGUUUUCCCGGCACCCCCCAUACCAUACAAUCCAAUAAUUCCCAGUUGUUCAUCUUGGAUGCAUCUGCAAACCUCUGCAUACAUCCGAUCCAAUCCUACAGUCUUCUCAAUUGGCCGCUCAUCCACCGCAGCUCUAGGCAGCCUAUCAGCCACAUCGCUGAAACACCCUUUGCUCCUCAGUUUAGUGACGGCACCAAGCUUUUUACUUGUUAUCUUCCCCAUCUUGUUGCUUGACCGGCAGUUCUUGGGACAGCAGGUUCCGAGGCAUUUCUGCUGGAUUUCCUGAUCACCUUUCUGCAGUAUCUCCCUGACUUCCUUUUCCAAGACUUGUACUCUGUGGAGCCACCCAUCCACUUCAUGUGUCCGUCUCAUCUCGCGGUCUUCCUCAGCACGAUCCACCUUAUUCUUCACAUCUUCAGCCACGGUCUUCAGAUCCUCCAUGGCGUUUCUCAAAGAUUCAAGGGUUUCUUGCAGAUCAGUGAGAUAAGCAGCACGUUUGGCAGUGCAAUCCCAUAAACGAGAGGCAGCAUCAAGGAUUGGGCUCACAAAAUCCAUGGCUUGUAGGAGAUCACAGAAACAAAACUCAGAAAGAAGAAAGAGGAGAAAUCGGUGAUGAGUUGCUGAUAGAGGUGAGACUAAUGAAUGGUUGAAAUUUGUUCACAAAGCAAAAAAUCUAGUGUGGGGCACUUCAUUUAAGAGUUCAGCCUUAUCGUGGACUCCAGCACCCAUGAAUUUGGACCGUUUUAAGGGGAUUUUGAAAGUGAUUUUAAAAAACAUUUUUUUUAACAAUAUAACCAUUCAAAAAAUCUCCAAAUAAUUCCUACUUUAAUCAUAUGAUAACUCUUUUAUUAGGUGACAUUUUAUAAGACCAGUAAUUUUAUGGAGGAUAUUAGCACAAAGGGACAUCAUUUUUAAUUUAUUUUAGCACAAUGAUAAUCUUUUUUAAGAAGGAUUUUUUCAUAAUAAACAAAAAUAAAAGCUCGCCUAAAAAUGAUACAAAAACAAGUUCAAUAUCAUGUUUCUUAAAAGGGUUAUGCUAGGUUAUCGAAAAGUGCUUUUCCAUACCCACUUUUUUAGGCUAAUAGGGUAGAGACACAUGACAUGUAAAAUUAAAAAGAAAAAAAACAAAACCACUUCUUCAGGUCACCCAACCGGUUGCCAUGGGAAUUAAUCCUAUGCAACACACAUUGUUAGAUCUAUUACAUUAACCAAUUAUAAAUUUGUUUAAUGUAAUUAUUUUGUUUGGAAAAUUUUUUUUACGAAACAAAAAAACUAAAGAAAAAUUUGAAAAAAUAAAUUAUAGUUUAUUUAUUUUUGUACUAUAAAGUGAUUAAACCCCACAUAAAAAUUAAAUUUAAAAUAAACCAAAAAAAAAAAUAAUAAUUUGGUGAUAUAAUCUAUAAAUUAAGGAAAAGUAAAUUUAAUUUAUUUUAACAUCAAAUAAUUUGUUGACAAAAUUUGAUGAAUAUUUGAAGUGUGAAAAGCAAUAUAAUUGGUUUAUGAAGUUAAAAAAAUGGGUAAACUAGAAAUAAAUUUUAUAAAAUAUAUAUUAAAUUAAAAUUAAAUUAGUUGUGUACUAAUUAUUAAUUGAGAAUAUAUGACUAAAUUAUUUCUUAGCUUUUCAAAAAAAUUGGUUGAAAUAUUGAAAAUACGAAAAAAGGUAUAAUUACUAAUAAUAUGGAAAUCCAAACCCCUAAUUGAUUUUUUCGGUAAAUUUUCAUUUUGAAUUUUUCGAUCCAUUUCACACCCUCAAAAUGUACUGAAUUUUUUAGUAUUUUUGGAUUUGAAUUUUUCCGGAAAUCAUUUGACCACCUCCUAAGUGUAAUGAACUUAUUUAAACAAUAUCUAAGUCAUAUGAAGUCUCGAAAAUAUUUUAAAAACUUCAAACAAGUGGAGAAUUGGGAGGGUAUGAAGAAUGUGAGAAUUCCUCACAUUCUUCAUACCCUUAUGAAUUUUUUAAUAUUUUUGGAUUUAGAUUUUUCCGGAUAUCAUUUGACCGUCUCCUAAGUGUAAUAAACCUAUUUAAACUAUAUCCAAGUAAUAUGAAGUCCAAAAAAAUUUUAAAAAAACUUCAAACAAGUGAAAAAUUGGGAGGGUACGAAGAAUGUGAGGAUUCCUCACAUUCUUCGUACCCUUGCUAAUUUUUUUAGUAUUUUUGGAUUUGGAUUUUUCCGGAUACCAUUUGACCACCUCCUAAGUGUAACGAACCUAUUUAAACAACAUCCAAUCCAUAUGAAGUCCCAAAAAAUUUUCAAAAGUGCAAAGAAGUGGAGAAUAGGGAGGGUAUGAAGAAUGUGAGGAUUCCUCACAUACUUCGUACCCUUGUUAAUUUUUUAGUAUUUUUGGAUUUCGAUUUUUCCGGAAAUCAUUUCACCACAUCCUAAGUGUAAUGAACCUAUUUAAACAUUAUCCAAGCCAUAUUAAGUCCCAAAAAAUUUUAAAAACUUCAAACAAGUGGAGAAUUGGGAGGGUAUGAAGAAUGUGAGAAUUCCUCACAUUCUUCGUACCUUUGUGAAUUUUUUAGUAUUUUUGGAUUUGGAUUUUUUCAGAUAUCAUUUGACCACUUCCUAAGUGUAAUGAACCUAUUUAAACAACAUCCAACCCAUAUGAAGUCCUAAAAAAUUUUAAAAACUCCAAAGAAGUGGAGAAUUGGGAGGGUACGAAGAAUGUGAGGAUUCCUCACACUCUUCGUACCCUUGUUAAUUUUUCUGUAUUAUUGAAUUUGGAUUUUUCCGGAAAUCAUUUGACCACCUCCUAAGUGUAAUGAACCUAUUUGAACAACAUUCAACCCAUAUAAAGUCCCAACAAAUUUAAAAAACUUCAAACAAGUGGAGAAUUGGGAGGGUACAAAGAAUGUAAGGAUUCCUCACAUUCUUCGUACCGUUGUGAAUUUUUUAGUAUUUUUGGAUUUGGAUUUUUCCGGAAAUCAUUUGACCACCUCCUAAGUGUAAUGAACCUAUUUAAACUAUAUCCAAGCAGUAUGAAGUCCAAAAAAAAUUUAAAAAGCUUCAAAAAAGUGAAGAAUUGGGAGGGUACGAAGAAUGUGAGGAUUCCUCACAUUCUUUGUAUCCUUGUUAUUUUUUUAGUAUUUUUGGAUUUGGAUUUUUUUGGAUAUCAUUUAACCACCUCCUAAGUAUAACGGACCUAUUUAAACAAUAUCCAAGCCAUAUGAAGUCCCAAAAAAUUUUAAAAAGUGCAAAGAAGUGGAGAAUUGGGAGGGUACAAAGAAUGUGAGGAUUCCUCACAUACUUCGUACCCUUGUGAAUUUUUUAGUAUUUUUGGAUUUGGAUUUUUCCAGAAAUCAUUUCAACACCUCCUAUGUGUAAUGAACCUAUUUAAACAAUAUGCAAACCAUAUGAAGUCUCAAAAAAUUUUAAAAUCUUCAAACAAGUUUAGAAUUGGGAGGGUACGAAGAAUGUGAUGAUUCCUUACAUACUUCGUACCCUAGUGAAUUUUUUAGUAAUUUUGGAUUUAGAUUUUUCCGGAAAUCAUUUGACCACCUCCUAAGUGUAAUGAACCUAUUUAAACUAUAUCCAAGUAAUAUGAAGUCCAAAUUUUUUUUAAAAAACUUUAAACAAGUGGAGAAUUGGGAGGGUACGAAGAAUGUGAGGAUUCCUCACAUUCUUCGUACCCUUGUUAAUUUUUUAGUAUUUUUGGAUUUGGAUUUUUCCGGAAAUCAUUUGACCACCUCCUAACUGUAAUGAACCUAUUUAAAGAACAUCCAAACCAUAUGAAGUCCCAACAAAUUUUAAAAACUUCAAACAAGUGGAGAAUUGGGAGGGUACGAAGAAUGUGAGGAUUCCUCACAUUCUUCGUACCCUUGUUAAUUUUUUAGUAUUUUUGGAUUUGGAUUUUUCCAUAAAUCAUUUCACCACUUCCUCAGUGUAAAGAACCUAUUUAAACAAUAUCCAAGCCAUAUGAAGUUCCAAAAAAUUUUAAAAACUUCAAACAAGUGGAGAAUUGGGAGGGUACGAAGAAUGUGAGGAUUCCUCACAUUCUUCGUACCCUUGUUAAUUUUUUUUGUAUAUUUGAAUUUGGAUUUUUUCGGAAAUCAUUUGACCACCUCCUAAGUGUAAUGAACCUAUUCAAACAACAUCCAAACCAUAUGAAGUCCCAACAAAUUUUAAAAACUUCAAACAAGUGGAGAAUUGGGAGGAUACGAAGAAUGUGAGGAUUCCUCACAUUCUUCGUAUCCCUGUUAAUUUUUUUAGUAUUUUUGGAUUUGGAUUUUUCUGUAAAUCAUUUCACCACUUCCUCAGUGUAAAGAACCUAUUUAAACAAUAUCCAAGUCAUAUGAAGUCCCAAAAAAUUUUAUGGAAAUUUGGGAGGGUACGAAGAUGGAGGGAACAACACUUGUUAAGAAUCNNNNNNNNNNNNNNNNNNNNNNNNNNNNNNNNNNNNNNNNNNNNNNNNNNNNNNNNNNNNNNNNNNNNNNNNNNNNNNNNNNNNNNNNNNNNNNNNNNNNUCGUACCCUCGUUAAUUUUUUAGUAUUUUUGAAUUUGGAUUUUUACGUAAAUCAUUUCACCACCUCCGAAGUGUAAAGAACCUAUUUAAACAAUAUUCAAGCCAUAUGAAGUCCCAAAAAAUUUUAAAAACUUUAAACAAGUGGAGAAUUGGGAGGGUACAAAGAAUGUGAGGAUUCCUCACACUCUUCGUACCCUUGUGAAUUUUUUAGUAUUUUUGGAUUUUGAUUUUUCCGGAAAUCAUUUCACCACAUCCUAAGUGUAAUGAACCUAUUUAAACUAUAUCCAAGUAAUAUGAAGUCCAAAAUUUUUUUAAAAACUUCAAACAAGUGAAGAAUUGGGAGGUUACGAAGAAUGUGAGGAUUCCUCACAUACUUCAUACCCUUGUGAAUUUUUUAUUAUUUUUGGAUUUGGAUUUUUUCGGAAAUCAUUUCACCACCUCCUAAGUGUAAUGAACCUAUUUAAACAAUAUGCAAGCCAUAUGAAGUCCCAAAAAAUUUUAAAAACUUCAAACAAGUGAAGAAUUGGGAGGUUACGAAGAAUGUGAGGAUUCCUCACAUACUUCGUACCCUUGUGAAUUUUUUAUUAUUUUUGGAUUUGGAUUUUUUUCGGAAAUCAUUUCACCACCUCCUAAGUGUAAUGAACCUAUUUAAACAAUAUGCAAGCCAUAUGAAGUCCCAAAAAAUUUUAAAAACUUCAAACAAGUGGAGAAUUGGGAGGGUAUGAAGAAUGUGAGGAAUCGAAUGUGAGGAUUCCUCACAUUCUUCGUACCCUUGUUAAUUUUUUUGUAUUUUUGAAUUUGGAUUUUUCCGGAAAUCAUUUGACCACCUCCUAAGUGUAACGAACCUAUUUAAACAACAUCCAAACCAUAUGAUGUCCCAAAAAAUUUUAAAAACUUCAAACAAGUGAAGAAUUGGAAGGGUACGAAGAAUGUGAGGAUUCCUCACAUACUUCGUACCCUUGUUAAUUUUUUAGUAUUUUUGGAUUUGGAUUUUUACGGAUAUCAUUUUGACCAUAUUCUAAGUGUAAUGAACCUAUUUAAACAACAUCCAAGCCAUAUGAUGUNNNNNNNNNNNNNNNNNNNNNNNNNNNNNNNNNNNNNNNNNNNNNNNNNNNNNNNNNNNNNNNNNNNNNNNNNNNNNNNNNNNNNNNNNNNNNNNNNNNNCCCAAAAAAUUUUAAAAACUCCAAACAAGUGGAGAAUUGGGAGGGUACGAAGAAUGUGAGGAUUCCUCACAUUCUUCGUACCCUUGUUAAUUUUUUUGUAAUUUUGGAUUUGGAUUUUUUUGGAAAUCAUUUGACCACCUCCUAAGUGUAAUGAACCUAUUUAAACAACAUCCAAGCCAUAUGAUGUCCCAAAAAUUUUUAAAAACUCCAAAGAAGUGGAGAAUUGGUAGGGUACGAAGAAUGUGAGGAUUCCUUACAUUCUUUGUACCUUUGUUAAUUUUUUAGUAUGUUUGGAUUUGGAUUUUUCUGGAAAUCAUUUCACCACCUCCUAAGUGUAAUGAACCUAUUUAAACAAUAUACAAGCCAUAUGAAGUCCCAAAAAAUUUUAAAAACUUCAAACAAGUGGAGAAUUGGGAGGGUACGAAGAAUGUGAGGAAUCCUCACAUUCUUCAUACCCUUGUGAAUUUUUUAGUAUUUUUGGAUAUGGAUUUUUUCGAAUAUCAUUUGACCAUCUCCUAAGUGUAAUGAAUCUAUUUAAACAACAUCUAAGCCAUAUGAUGUCCCAAAAAAUUUUAAAAACUUCAAGCAAGUGGAGAAUUGGGAGGCUACGAAGAAUGUGAGGAUUCCUCACAUACUUCGUACCCUUGUUAAUUUUUUAGUAUUUUUGGAUUUCGAUUUUUUUGGAAAUCAUUUGACCACCUUCUAAGUGUAACGAACCUAUUUAAACAACAUCCAAGCCAUAUGAUGUCCCAAAAUUUUUUGAAUUUGUCGAGACAAUCUAUGCAUGAAUCCAACAUUUUACCACCUUACUUCAUUAACUAAUAAGCGGUUGACCGGUAUAGUGCUACCGGUUUGCCUAUAUUCUCAGCCGGUAGCCACUGCCAAUUCUUAUGCUGAAGCACCAAAAUGGGCAGUGUCUACCAGUGGCAAAAAAAAAUUUCAACCGCUUCAUAUGAUGGUCGACCGGUACACAAAUAUCUUUUACAUGUCAUUUAUGUUUUUGAUCCGGUCAUUCAUACACUCAAAUGGUAUUACCCAAUAAUGACAUAGAUUGGCCAAUUGUUGGUAGGGAUUGAAACCGCGAGUUUUGAAUAUAAGAGGAAACAAAAUUAAAGAAAAAAAAAAUACAUUUUUCUUACCACCAAUGCGUUGGCUUUUCAUAUGUCCUAACAUAACCUUAUUCAUCAUUCAUGAGAUGAUAUCACCCCACCUCAUAAUGUAUAAGACACUAUUACUUUCACCCAUGCACAUUACUUAGCCUAGCGGAUAUAGGGCAAUGGGAAAAAAUAAUGACACAUAGGGGUGACGACGAGACCAAAGCACCUUUCAAAUAUAUUAGUGUGACUACAAACAUGUAUGAUGAAGUAUCGAUUGGUCUGAACCAUUGUGUCUCAAGCAAUUUAAUACUCAUCUUGUACGAUCUCAUCUUCUCAUAAGAAUUAGCAACGCUAGAAUAUGCAAUAUGAAUGUUUUCAUUAAAAUAUUUUUGUGUAGAAUAAUUACAAGCAUAUUAGAAUAUUUUUCUAAACUAUUUUAAAAUAAAAAAUAUUAUAAAAAUAAUAAUAAUUAAUAAAUGAAAUAAAAUAAUAAAGUGACAAAUAACAUGUGGAAAAUUAUUUUAUAUAUGAUAUCAAAUUAUAUACAUCAUGAAAAAUAGUAAUAUCAUCAUUUAUGAUAGUAUAUCUCAUACCAUAACAAAUAUAUUCUAUGAAAUUUUAGUCAUAUUUAUUUUCACAAUAUUUUACAUUUUCCUUUUCUAUUUUUUUUUAAAUUUCUUUAAAUAAUCUCACUUUUUUUAGAAAAGAAAAAUAAGAAAUAAAAAACUUUUUCGAAAAGUAAAAAUAAAAAAUAAAACUAGACAACAUUUUCUCAACCAAAUGCAACUUAAAAUUUUCAUAAUAAUUCUAUAAAGUAAGAAGUUUUUUCAUAGUUUAAGUUACUCCGGGUAAAAUAAUUUUGAAAAUAAGCAUGUAUGUGACUAAUAGUUUUGAUUAGGUUUCAUUGAAAGAAGACUUUGACUAUGGGAACAAAUAGAAAAAUUAGUAAAUGGAAAAAGAUUGAGCUAAUAUUAAUGAUGCAUCAAGUGCCUCGUUGGACCAAACGUUCUUCCUUAACCAACUUUACAAACAUGAAUUUUAGGAUAUGAGAAUACAAAAUACGAUGACCACCAGAAAAAAGUAGGUUAUUUUGUUUUU
rnacentral:lncRNA from 1 species